rnacentral:rRNA from 1 species
UGGAUGCCUUGGCACUAAGAGCCGAUGAAAGACGUGAUAAGCUGCGAAAAGCUUCGGGGAGGAGCACAUAUCCAUUGAUCCGGAGAUAUCUGAAUGGGGAAACCCGGCAGAGGAAACCUCUGUCAGCAUGUAGUGAAUUCAUAGCUGCAUGUGGGGAACCCGGGGAACUGAAACAUCUAAGUACCCGGAGGAAGAGAAAGAAAAUUUAUCGAUUUCCAAAGUAGCGGCGAGCGAAAUGGAAGGAGCCCAAACCGUGGUGCGUGCAUCACGGGGUUCGGACUGCGACAUGAGAGACGUAAGAUAGGAGAACGGACUGGGAAGUCCGGCCGGAGAGAGUGAAAGCCUCGUAUCCGAAAUCCCAAGUCAUCUAGCAGGAUCCAGAGUAGGACGAGACACGAGAAACCUUGUCUGAAGGAGCGGGGACCACCCCGUAAGGCUAAAUACUUCUUAGUGACCGAUAGCGCAUAGUACUGUGAAGGAAAGGUGAAAAGUACCCCGGGAGGGGAGUGAAA